rnacentral:rRNA from 1 species
CCCUUAGAUGUUCGGGGCCGCACGCGCGCUACACUGAAGGAAUCAGCACGUCUUUCUCCUUGUCCGAAAGGACUGGGUAACCCGCUGAACCUCCUUCGUGCUAGGGAUUGGGGCUUGUAAUUCUUCCCCAUGAACGAGGAAUUCCCAGUAAGCGCGAGUCAUAAGCUCGCGUUGAUUACGUCCCUGCCCUUUGUACACACCGCCCGUCGCUACUACCGAUUGGAUGGUUUAGUGAGAGCCUCGGAUUGGUCCCGGCGCGGCCUCUGGUCGUGCCGGAGUGCCGAAAAGAAUGUCGAACUUGAUCAUCUAGAGGAAGUAAAAGUCGUAACA